rnacentral:rRNA from 1 species
GACGAACGCUGGCGGCGUGCCUAAUACAUGCAAGUAGAACGCACAGUUUAUACCUUUGCUUGCUACACCAUAGACUGUGAGUUGCGAACGGGUGAGUUACGCGUAGGUAACCUGUCUGGUAGCUGGGGAUAACUAUUGGAAACGAUAGCUAAUACCGCAUAAUAUUAAUUAUUGCAUGAUAAUUAAUUGAAAGGUGCAAUUGCACCACUACCAGAUGGACCUGCGUUGUAUUAGCUAGUAGGUGAGGUAACGGCUCACCUAGGCGACGAUACAUAGCCGACAUGCGAGGGUGGUCGGCCACCCUGGGACUGUGACACGCCCCAGAGUCCUACGGGAGGCAGCAGUAGGGAAACUUCGGCCAGGGGCGAAAGUCUGAGCGAGCAACGCCGAGGGAGUAAAGAAGGUUUUCGGGUCGUAAAGCUCGGUUGUCGGGGAAGAACGGGUGUGAGAGUGGAAAGUUCACACUGUGACGGUAUCGUACCAGAAAGGGACGGCUAACUACGUG